rnacentral:lncRNA from 1 species
UUUAGUUUUACAUCUAUUAAAACAAUUUUAGGUUACCACAUAAGAUGGCAGAUUAUAAAGAUGAGUUCAUGAAGCAAAGAAUACUAGAGUGUAUAUUUUAAAUCUGGCUUUAGGAGGCUGCCUGUACUGCCCGUUUUCUUUCGUACAUAGCUUUGACGUGUUUGAUCUGUGUUCUUAUUGUGCCAAUACCCAUCUGUGUUAGAUCUGUGAUGCAUUUUCCCUUCUCCAUUUGCAUUAUGUCCUUUAACAGAAAGCACAGCUGAGUACAAGCUAACUGGAGUAACUCUGCUGUUUUGCUGCUUGUUGCAUGCACACAGGAAUGGGACGCCAGCUCCUUUCCCCCUUCCCCAGCGCCGUUUGACCUCUCCCAGGACACACCAGCAGCCUGCUUACUACUAAACGCAGCCCCAAAGGCCUUUAGAAAUGCAGUUGAUAUCAUUUUUUUUUGUAUAGUCAGUUUAUUGACACUAUUUGAAACUCUUGAGAUUUAAAUGGAGAGGCUUUUUGUUGAGACAUUGACACCAAAACAAUUUUUUGAAAUGUUGCUGAAACUCAGUUGGAUUUGAAAAUUAAAAGGAUUGUUAAAUCCUUAUAACUGGUUGGGAGGAGGGAAGAUACCAUUUUAUUCCAUUUGGAGAAUAUAGAUAUAUUUCUUUUGUUUUCUAAAUAAGCUAAACAUGAUGAAUUUUUAUAAUUUUAAUUCGAAGAUUGAAUAAAUAUUUUUCAUAAAGAUUGUUUUGAGUGCUAAUUUGUUUACCUUUUGUAGAAUUGCUUUAUAAAUGAUAUUAUUUCAUACAACUGUCAUUCCUUUGUAAUAUUUAAAAAGUAGUAGUAAAUGAGGAAAUUAGCAAAGUAGUAUUAGUAAGAUGAAAGUAAUUUGACUGUACAGUUUGUAGCCAAGUGGAGUGUUUGGUAUUGUUUCAUUCAUAAUUUGGUGGGAAAUGGAAACAGCUUUAUAUGUUUCCAAUCAUAUUCACUAAAGACUUAAAUGUUUCUGAUAUGUGCAUGUAUAUUUUUGUGAUGUGAUUUCAUGGCUUAAAGUUUCCUUCAAGACACAAUUUGGAAAUAUAAUCAGUUACAGUUUUGCUAAAAGUGUGCAUGCAAAUUAACUUACAAAUCCCAUGUCUCAGGACUUCCUUUAGUUUGCUGUUUCGGUUUGUUCAUGUCCUCUAAGGCUCUGAUCUUGAUGACAUGGCUAUAAAUCUUUACAUUUGCUAAAAUGCAUAAGUAUUACGGGUAAGUUAUACAAUGGCGCAAUAAUGAUAAUAGGGCAUAAUAAUUCUUUGAGUCCUUUUACAUAUCAAAAUUCUGUAGCUAUUUUAAGGUUUUUGCAGAAAAAUAAGUAUAUUUAAUGAUUGUAUUUCUUCAAAAGUAUGUUGCAAUAGCCAGAAAUACAAUGUGAAAGUGUAUUCAAAUUGGUUUUCAGUAUCAUGUAUGCACUAAAAAAACGUGUGCCUGCUGCUGCUACAGAUGGAGCACUGCUCUCAGCGAGAAAGCACAUUAGAUUGCCAAUUUACAGAAUGGCAUCAGACAUUUCUGAGAGGUUAGACAACAUUUUAAAUUUAUAAAAUUAAUGUCUUUGUAACAUUCAUACUGAUAAUUUCUUUGAUAUUUUAACAGAUUGUAUUUCUUCCCUUCAAGUUUCUAUACUUGCUUAAGCAGUCUUGAUUUGAGUAAGGGUCUUGGUUUGUGCUAUUAUGUUCUGUUAGUUUGGCAUGAAUAUACUAAAGCUUUUUUUUCCAGCAUGUGUUUUCUCCUCUUUGGUUCUCUUUGUAUUUACUACUUUUCUCUUUUUCUUCUGUUUUGUUUUUUUCUUUUCUUUUUUUU